CAAUAAUUGGUAUUCAAAUUCUCUGUAAAAUAUUACCAGCGUCUCUAACUGAUGCCGAUCAAUUAAGAGAAAAAAAAUUAAGCCAUGGCCAUGCGUGAAACAACAGUUGCCAACUCCUGCAACGAUUUCCAAAUACUUUAACAUGCAAGUAAAUUUCUUAUCCUAUCAUCUUCAUUGUCUAACCAGCGUGGAUACGAGGAAAACUUUAGCAACGUCUUGUGUUCCUCUGUUGUUGAUUUGUUGUUUCUUGAGAAGAAAUGCGUAAGACAUCAUCUAAAAGGGUAAUUGUGGAAGCAGUAUUUUGCUGAUCUACAGCUGUAGGUCUGUAGGCCCGGUGUUUGAAGUUUAUUUCAUACAGUUUAAGAUUUAACAAACUAGCAUCAUUUUAUCGCAACCCAGUCAAACAUAUCUAGAUUAAUAGGGAAUGAAUCUUUAAUUCCUCCUAUUUCCUACCGGCUUCUCGACUGAUCUGAAAAAAAUCCGUUGGGGGUAACCAAUAUAAAGCCAAUCGCAAUUUAUUUUUUAAACUCUAAAAUGUCUCCAGUUAAUAGAGGCUUUAUAGGGAUCCUUUCUGAAUUUUCGAUGAACAACAGCGGGAAACAAAUUAUGCUGGUGAGUUGUUGUUGUUGUUGUUUUUUUCUUGAAAAUCACGGUGUGGGUACUGUUUUGGCUGGCAAUAAUAAAUUUGCUUUUCACAUUUUAGCUCUAAAUUGCCAGGGCUUCUGUCCAAUUAAAUUAAUAGACCCCUAUAACGAUGCAUGAUAUACCAUUUGAAAGCUAUUGACAUGCGUAUUCUUAAAAUGGCAUCAAUAACCACUAAGGAAGUUACAGCUUUUACUAACAAUGGUUGGAAAAGAAAGAAAGAAAAAGGCAUAGGUCGCACUAGAGCGAAUUUUUUUUUUUGGUCGGUCCGAAAGACCCAAAAAUAUCUUGACUUGCCAAUUUUUUUGGGUUCGUUUUCUGGUCGCACGUGAAGCGACACGACAAGGCUAAAUUCUUGUGUAAACACUGAUAAAACGCUUUUGUAAACAAUGAUGCUUUCCCGUGAAGCCAUACUGUCCAUAAUUUUUCUUAAAUAGACACGCAGUUGACAUGUUUAAUGAAUUUUUGUUUUCUUUGGGCGAUUUUGGAAAAAUCUGCCUGCCCCACCCAUACACUACGGCGUCUUUGAUCUUCUUGGUCCACUGACAAAUUUUUCCAAAUUUUGUUCGUAGGGGUCGCAUUAGGAAAAGCUCCAAUUUUGACCCAAUUUUUGGUAAAACAAACAGAAUUUGCUCUAGUGCGACCCAUGCCUUUAAUUCUAAAAAGUCGAAAUCUUCAUAUGUAUAUAUUUGGUGCUUCCUUAAACUAUACCUUAUUUUACAGCACUCUAUGAAUAGGUUAAUAACAAAUGCAUUAAAGACCGCAUAAUCAUUGUAGAAAAAGGUUCCAAAACUUCCAGGGGUACGUGAUGAACUAUAUGUAUUGGGGAGGUUCACAACUUUUUGUUUUCAAUGUGAUCUUGACAAGAUCAUUUCGGCGCAAACAUUUCAUCGAAAUCAGACAGAUUUAAACCUGAACCAAACAGUGUCGUCAGAAGCUCCUAAGUGCUCUCUCAUGGCGAAAGGAUUAAGACACUGUUUGGGAUAUUUGCAAAGGGUCCUCGCUAAUUUCUCCUAAACUGGCUUUGUCUAAAGAGCGAGUAGAGCAAGAAGAACACACGAACGUGACUCGGGAUUUUACUGCUCGCCGAUUAGCCAGAUUCUAUAAGCUUGGUUCAGUAGAUUUCAAGUCCUCGUGGUUACCGGUUUGAUUUUGUUUUGUCUAUUAUCAAGGAAACGUGUGAUCAAGAGUUCAGGAGAACAUGUGCUCGUUUGCUCAAGAUCUGGACUGCUCAAAUGUUCAAAAAAAUGACUGCGGGAGAGAACUUCAAGAUCAGCAAAGAUAUGAUAUAAAUGGCGCUCAAUAACAAACAUAAGAAGAUCCCGCCAGAAAAGUGUUGAACUAUUUUCGUGUCGCACUCGUCCUGCAAACAACUGCAAACAGAGAAUAAUGAAGAAACAGAUGUUUUCAUUCGCCUUUCACAAAGUAAAUCUUGUCCCAUGCUUCCUUUUCAUUAUCUCAUUUUACCAAAGAACCCCGAAGAACGCCAAGCAUUAAUUUAAAAAAAAAAAAACGUUAAGAAUAGAUCAAAUAAAUGACUCCACAACGCACUAUUAAUAAAUUGCCUCGCAGCGGUACGAAAAUCAAUGGAAUUAUUAUGGCCUUUACAUGCUAGCAACUUCUCAGAACGCGCAUUAAAAUAAUUUUACGUUAGUUAGUACAAGAAAAUAGUAUUCGAUCUUUCCACUCAAAGGUCUAUUUUAGGUACACCUUCUGCCCCUCCCCAGGGCGGUCUCUGGACUAUGAUGUUUUGAAGCCCUUGUUCUCCGACACAGUCUGUCCUGCAUAUAGCACGCAGGGGACCAAUUAGAGUGCUCCUAAUCUCUGUAGAGCAGUCUGACAAAUAAGGAUAGUCUUUGCUCAUUUGCUAUUCAAAAUGAUACUGGUUUAUCUACCUGAUGACAGUCAAUAAAGACAGAAAAGGAUUCAAGCCAAUUGCCAUGGAUAAAACAACAGCUGCUCACUGCUUGAACUAUUUCCAAGACACUUUUAUAUGACAGUAAAUUUCUUAAGCCAUCAUCUUACCGUCGAGAUGAAGAAAACCGUAGUAACGUCUUGUGUUCUGCUGUUGUUGAUUUCGUCGCUGUUGUUAGUCGACAGCGGUAUUUUGGCAAAGCAUAAACGUCGUGGAUCAUCUAAAAAGAGGUUUUAUCGGGAUGGAGAAUUUGAGGCCCUUUCAGAAUUUGUCACGAAUAACAGCGGGGAACGAGAGCUUAGCGACCAGGAAUUCAGAAGAAACAUUUGUUUGUCUGCCCGUGAGCUGGACUGCGAAAGAGAACUUCAAGAUCAAUUAAGAUCUGUUUCAACGGAUGCCCAAAUAACGAAAAAGCGGAAACCUCACCAGUAAAUCAUUCUGAUGUAUUCUCUUCUCGUUAUUGUUAUUAAACGAGCUGCAAAUAAGGAAUAAAGAAUAGACAAAACAACUGACAGGUGUUUACCUCGUGCUUGUUUUCAAUCAAAUCAGGGACUCUUACGAGCAAGGAGUGGGAAGAACAUUUGAAAGGAGCCAGGCGGAAGAAAUUAAGAAAGCAUAAUCCUCGAAUUGCCUCUGAAGUGAAUAUGAAUUCUGAUUUUUUUUUUUUCUUUUUUAGUAGACACUAUAUGAUUGCAGUCCAAAUCCUUGGACCCUAAACUAAUUAUCAAGAGUCAGUAAAGGGUUAUGGUAACACCGAAUAGGCAACAUCGAGAGAACCAUUCAGAUAUGUGUAUUUGCAAUAGACCGGGCUGAGAGCGCUUUUCUCUCGACCAAAGAUUCCGGUUUGAAUUUUCGGAACUUUCCAGUGGCGAGUGACAAAGAAUUUCCCGGAAUUUCUGGAAAAGAGGA